rnacentral:lncRNA from 1 species
GAACGAGAUGGGGCCGGGGAAGCGCCGAGCUUCGCUGCGGGGAUCCCCGGGGCUAGCAACUCGCCUCCCCAGUUUCUGCGUGGGCCCAGGGUCACGGAUUUGCCUUUUCCAAGAGAGAGCUCUUCGUGAAAGAAUGUGACUUGUGGCUUCUCUGGGACCGGACACUGUUGCACCCG